UAUUCAAAACUCAAUUAACAAAACAUUUGAGCAAAUCGACGGAGAGAGAAAGAGAAGAUGAAUCUUCCAGUAGUAGCUUGCAUCGCGCCAAGAACUCCGAUGCUUCACACCGGCUUGAAUUCAAGAUCUUCCGACACGAACCGCAGUUCAACACUGUUUUUCACGGCGAGGAUACCAUCACGGAACUUGAAACCUCUCGCAGCUGUUUCGUCUGAUUCCGCACCCGACCCUGAACCCAACCUCAAACCGAAGAAGGAAGCUACGGAGAGCGAGAAAUUUCCGACGAAGGUCCCGCGUAAACCGAAGCGCGGGCGACGGAGCGAAGCGGACGCCGUGGAGGAUUUCGUGAGAAGCUCCCUCGAGAAGACGUUCUCCAGCAUACGAGAGCAGAAUCCAGAAGUUUUCGAGAACAAGGAGAAGGCGAGUUUCAUCAAGGACAGAGCGGAGGAAAGCGAAGGAGAGAUGGUGGUGGAAGAGGAAGAUCCAGAUUGGCCUGUGGAUACGGAUGUUGGAUGGGGAAUCAAAGCUUCGGAGUACUUCGAUACGCAUCCCAUCAAGAACGUGGUGGGAGAAGACGGGACUGUGAUCGACUGGGAAGGCGAGAUUGAUGACAGCUGGGUCAAAGAGAUUAACUGUUUGGAGUGGGAAAGCUUCGCCUUUCACCCUAGCCCUCUCGUCGUCCUCGUAUUCGAGCGGUACAAGAGGGCUAGUGAUAAUUGGAAGACAUUGAAGGAGCUCGAGAAGGCGAUCAAAGUUUACUGGGAUGCAAAAGAUCGAUUACCUCCACGGGCGGUUAAGAUUGACUUGAACAUCGAGACAGAUUUGGCUUAUGCUCUUAAAGCCAAGGAAUGUCCACAGAUUCUGUUUUUACGGGGAAACCGGAUUCUGUACAGGGAGAAAGAGGUUCGUUCGGCCGAUGAAUUGGUCCAGAUGAUUGCGCAUUUCUACUAUAAAGCAAAGAGACCUUCGUGGAUAGACAAGGCUAACGUAACCCCGUACUGCUAGUUUGCAAUGUGAACGAGUUGAGUACUAAAAGGUGUCAGUGUAGGAAAGAUGUUUAUGCUUUGUUCGGAAGAAAGAAGAGAUCAAGCAGGGGUUUUACUCGACCUUAUUAUUUCAACAUUAUGUUGUUAGCUUAUGGAAAUAGCAGGCGUCUGGUGAAGAGGUUAUGAAAUCAAGAGGGCCAAAGGUUUGGACAUAUAUAGCGGCUGAAGAGGUAAAUUUGGUUUUAAGAAGUUAGAGGUUAACGCUUUUUGUUGACAUGGAUGGAAGAUUUUGACACGAAGUUGAUGAAUUCAUAUUGGAUUACAAAGUGGUAUGUUUAUAGAGAGUCUAUAACCAAAAUCUCCGGACAUAUACAUAUUUGCUUGUAAUGAUUGUCAAGUUGUUGUAUGUUCGAUGCAAUAAAGAACUCCCAAGUAUUGGUUUUUGAUC